rnacentral:rRNA from 1 species
GACAGGGGGUGCAAGCGUUACUCGGAAUUACUGGGCGUAAAGAGCGUGUAGGCGGUCUAUUAAGUCCACUGUGAAAGCCCCCGGCUCAAUCGGGGAAGUGCAGUGGAUACUGCUAGACUAGAGUGCAGGAGAGGAGGGUGGAAUUCCCGGUGUAGAGGUGAAAUUCGUAGAUAUCGGGAGGAACAACAGAGGCGAAGGCGGCCCUCUGGACUGCAACUGACGCUUAGGCGCGAAAGCGUGGGGAGCAAACAGG